GCAUUCUCCCUCCUGUGCUCCCUAGCUUCAGCACCUAUCAGGGAACCCACGGCAAAUGAGCCAGCUGGAAAUGUGAUUUGCAGAGUUGCAGCCCCGGCACCACAGGGCCUCACAAAGUAGAACACAGAAGGGUUCUGCAGGAUAUACACGAAGUAUGGCACCAACAUCUGCUUCUGGUGAAGGCUUCAUGAAGCUUCCACCCAUGACAGAAGGCGAAGAACUGUUGCCAGCAUCAUGCUACAAGCCUGAAGGGAAGGUCUACUGACAGAGAAGGACAGAGACCAGGGAAACACAGAAAAGGAGAGACAAAGCCUUGACAUACCAAACCAGUGCCUGGCCUACCUAUGGACUUCUCAGUAUGUGAGAUUUAAAACACUGUAUUUUAUUUUAUUUAUUUAUUUAUUGUUAUUAUUAUUAUUAUACUUAAAGUUUUAGGGUACAUGUGCACAACAUGCAGGUUUGUUACAUAUGUAUACAUGUGCCAUGUUAGUGUGCUGCACCCAUUAACUUGUCAUUUAGCAUUAGGUAUAUCUCCUAAUGCUAUCCCUCCCCCCUCCCCCCACCCCACAACAGUCCCUGGUGUGUGAUGUUCCCCUUCCUGUGUCCAUGUGUUCUCAUUGUUCAAUUCCCACCUACGAGUGAGAACAUGCGGUGUUUGGUUUUUUGUCCUUGCGCUAGUUUGCUGAGAAUGAUGGUUUCCAGCUUCAUCCAUGUCCCUACAAAGGACAUGAACUCUUCCUUUUUAAUGGCUGCAUAGUAUUCCAUGGUGUAUAUGUGCCACAUUUUCUUAAUCCAGUUUAUCAUUGUUGGACAUUUGGGUUAGUUCCAAGUCUUUGCUAUUGUGAAUAGUGCCGCAAUAAACAUACAUGUGCAUGUG